rnacentral:rRNA from 1 species
GAUGAACGCUGGCGGCGUGCCUAAUACAUGCAAGUCGAGCGAACAGACGAGGAGCUUGCUCCUCUGACGUUAGCGGCGGACGGGUGAGUAACACGUGGAUAACCUACCUAUAAGACUGGGAUAACUUCGGGAAACCGGAGCUAAUACCGGAUAAUAUAUUGAACCGCAUGGUUCAAUAGUGAAAGACGGUUUUGCUGUCACUUAUAGAUGGAUCCGCGCCGCAUUAGCUAGUUGGUAAGGUAACGGGUUACCAAGGCGACGAUGCGUAGCCGACCUGAGAGAGUGAUCGGCCACACUGGAACUGAGACACGGUCCAGACUCCUACGGGAGGCAGCAGUAGGGAAUCUGACGCAAUGGGCGAAAGCUUGACGGAGCAACGCCGCGUGAGUGAUGAAGGUCUUCGGAUCGUAAAACUCUGUUAUUAGGGAAGAACAAAUGUGUAAGUAACUAUGCACGUCUUGACGGUACCUAAUCAGAAAGCCACGGCUAACUACGUG